rnacentral:rRNA from 3 species
UUGGAGGUUGUGGCCUUGAGCCGUGGCUUUCGGAGCUAACGCGUUAAGUAGACCGCCUGGGGAGUACGGUCGCAAGAUUAAAACUCAAAUGAAUUGACGGGGGCCCGCACAAGCGGUGGAGCAUGUGGUUUAAUUCGAUGCAACGCGAAGAACCUUACCUACUCUUGACAUCCAGAGAACUUUCCAGAGAUGGAUUGGUGCCUUCGGGAACUCUGAGACAGGUGCUGCAUGGCUGUCGUCAGCUCGUGUCGUGAGA